AAGUAGGGAACACCCUUGCAUUUUCAAGUGCUGGCCACAUGUUUGACAAAAUGGCCAUGUGGAUUGAAACCGCGUUCGAGCGCGUGAAAUAAGAGCCACAUUUUGCCUUCGGUUUGAAUCGUCCAAUUCUCGCAUUCACAUGAACAACGACGUAGGAAAAAGAAAGACCGCGAUUAAGGAAAAGACCAAUCGGCAUCUCCAACUUGUAUUGAUUGAAGGGACAAGAAAAAACGGAAGUAUGAUGCCGAAUUAUAGCUAUUAGACCAUGCGAAACGAAUCUUUUGACGGCACAUAAGACAAAGAUUAUGGCUAAUUAGCCCGUGUGCCAUUACCUCUACGCCAUUGCCUAUAUUUAGUUAGCUGCAGAGAGCGAUGAGCUCAUUGACCCAAGCCCAGUAUUAUUGCUGAACGAUAAUAAAGCUGAAUUGUUGUUUCCAGUUGAUCCCAGGAACGAGCUCCGGCUCGCUCAUCGGAUCAGUAGCGAAUCCUAAGGAGAGAUCUACCUCGGUACUAUUUAUUAUUCAGAGGAACGAGGGAGUCGCAGCUAAGCUUGCCUAUAUGUUCAGAGCUUGUUAACGCAUGAAAAGUGAAUUCUCAAAUCAUUCUCUAUCAUAAGCUCCUCUUAUCAUAGUCAAGUAGUGCAAUACCAAUGGCCGAGUCUGUCGUAUCGUUCGCAGUGGAGGCAAUAGGAAACUUGCUCAUCGACGAGGCCAAAUUCUUGUGGGGCGUGGAGGGCAAGGUCAAGGACCUGCAAAGGGAGCUGAGGCUGAUUCAAGCCUUGUUGAGGGAUGCAGACGCAAGACAAGAGCGCGAACAAGUUGUUGGAGAAUGGGUCGCGCAACUCCGUGACAUUGCCUAUGAUGCUGAGGAUGUCAUCGAGCAAUACAUCCUCAGAGUAGCACCAAAGAAAGGACAAAACAUCAUCAAAGCGUAUGCUUGCUUCGUGGCGAAGUGCACCUGGGUGCAGGCUCAUGUGGUGGGGACGGAGAUUGAGGGCUUAAAAUCCAGCAUCUCCAAUCUGAGAACGAGUAUGCAGGAUCAUGGCAUACUAUCAGUGAAUGAGGGCAAUCGCGAAUGGGCGACGGCUUCGACGCAGAGGCAUACUUAUGCCCAUUUCGAGGAGGAUGUUGUUGGGAUGGAAGAUAGUAUUAAGGUAUUAGUGAAAGGGCUGAAGAAUGGAAGACAACACAGAGUUAUUUCUAUAUGGGGAAUGGGUGGCUUGGGUAAGACAACACUCGCAAAGAAAGUCUUCGCUCAUGAUGGAGUGAAGAACAAUUUCGAUGGUUUCGCAUGGGCUUGCGUAUCUCAAGAAUACCAUAUGAAAGAUAUCUUGGUGGGAAUUCUUGUUAAGUUAGUCCCUGAUCAAAGAGAGAAGGUUAUGCAAAUGAGAGAUGAUGAAUUGUUCGAAACUCUAUACAAGAUCCAAAAAGAGAAGAGAUGUAUUGUGGUUCUUGACGAUAUUUGGACCAAACAGGCAUGGGACGGUAUUCGAGCCGCAUUCCCAGUCGAGAACACGAGAAGCAAGCUAUUGAUAACGACCCGUAAUAGAGAAGUAGCGGAGUAUAUCGAUCCUCAUGGUUUUCUCCAUGAACCUCCGUGCUUAUCAAAGCAGGAGAGUUGGGAGCUGCUGAUGAAGAGGGUGUUUCCUAAAACGAAAACUAUUGAACUUUCUUCUAUUGGACCUGGAGUUGGUCAAGGUAUUGCUAUGGGCCAAGCUGUAGAAGGUAUCACAAGACAAUCAGAGAUGGAGGGACAAAUACCAGUAAUCACUGAAGACAUGAAGAGGUUAGGAGAUGAACUCCUUAAGAAGUGUGCAGGAUUACCCCUGGCUGUCAUUGUGCUUGGUGGACUUCUGGCAGUCAACGAGUGGGAGACGGUUUACAAAAAGAUCAAUUUGCAUUUUAGCGAGAAGAGUGAUGUGUCAAAAGUGUUGGCCUUUAGCUAUGACGAUCUACCAUGGCAUCUAAAGCCAUGCUUCCUGUAUUUGGGUAGCUUUCCGGAGGAUGCAAAAAUUCCCGCAACAAAGAUUCUUCACAUGUGGAUUGCUGAAGGCUUUGUGUCGCUGAAUCCAUAUGACAAAGAGAGAGAAAUUCAAGUGGAAGAUAUAGCAGAGCAAUAUUUAACGGAGUUGGUUAACAGGGGGAUGGUUCAAGUACGAUUCAGCUUGAGUGGAAAGAUCAAAACUUGCCACCUUCAUGACCUGAUGCGAGACUUAUGCAUCUUUAAGGCUACGCAAGAGAGUUUUCUAAGCAUUUUUAACAUUCGACAAGACAAUGAGAUGGAGGAUUGUUCUUCUUCGACAGCAAUAAAAGUCGAGUCAACUUGCAAAAUACGAAGGCUUUCGCUCAAUAUGCACGAGAGUGCCGAAGGAAACAUGUUUUCGAGCGUAAAACCAAUAGAAAGGACUAUGCUCCACCUUCGAACUCUCAUGUUCUUCGGAUUUGUCCAAGGGAAGUGGAAGCAAUUUCAACCAAUUUUUAUCAACUGUAAGUUUCUCAGAAUUCUGAAACUGGAGGGUCUUUCUAAUAUGAUAGGAAAUUUACCUAAAUCAGUGGGAGACCUAAUCCAUUUAAGAUUCUUAAGUUUAGCGGGAAGUUAUUUUAAGGACUUGCCGCAAUCUAUAGGGAACCUUAUAUGGAUGGAAUUUUUGGACCUGUGUGUGGUUUCAUAUGUUAAGGUAAACGUGCCAAAUGUGUUGCAUAAGAUGAGAUGGUUGAGGUUUCUCCGCCUUCCCUUCGAUUUUUUCGUCAAGGGGAAACCUCAUGGAGUGUGGGAGAAGAUGCGGCUUGACACUUUAAAGAAUUUACGGACACUGAGAAACUUUACGCCGUUUAAUUGCGAUGUGAACGAUAUAGGCAAACUGACUAAUUUGCAAAAACUGACCGUCAUUGGUAGCAAGGAGUUGGAGAUAAUGCCACAACUUGCUAAAUUCGCUUUGAAACAUCUUCGAACCUCAUCUUUUGUGUUCGUCAGCCGACGUAGCUCGUUCACUGAAGGUGAAUUGAGUAAAAUGUCAAGCUACCCAUAUUCCUGUAAGCUGUGGAUAAUAGAUAAAAUAGAGAAGUUACCGGAACAUAGGAAUCUACCCCAGCAGCUGAGGAAGCUGAUCUUAUUCGACUCUGAACUGGAAGAAGAUCCGAUGCCAAUAUUGGAGAGAUUGCAGCACUUGGUUGUUCUCAUGCUGGGGAGUCGUGCUUUCAUGGGGAAGGAAAUGGUUUGCUCUGCGGGAGGCUUUCCUCAACUCAAGCAUCUAGUUCUUUAUUAUAUGGAGAAUUUGGAGGAGUGGAGGGUGGCUGAAGGAGCCAUGCCUCAUCUUUCUCGAUUAGGGAUCAGCGGAUGUCCCGGAUUGAAAAAGGCUGUACCUCGAGGAGUCCACACCUACGACAGUUACCUAGAAAUAGAGGAUGAGCUUCAGAAGAGGAUGUGAGAUAGAGAGAUAUUGAUGUGGGUGGUCAGGGGUGGCCUCAACUGUCUUGUGGGUUGUCAGGGGGGUGGGCUUGAGGACUUCAGUGGGGAAAUCUGUUUGUUUCGCUCGCUGUCGAGAUGCGUCGCGACUUUGCUCGUGGAAGAUUGCGAAGUUCUCGCUGAGGAGGUGGAGCGAAUUCAAUGCGAUGCUUCUCCAGAAGACAGCUGAUGGGAGGCAUAUAGGAAGAAAAUAAGGGUCAUCGCUUGUGGUGUUGAAGACGCCAUCGUGAAAGCAGCUUGCUUUGGCGAGGAGAGGAGAGAAGAUUCGAUCAUUUCCAUAGUGCUGGUCAGAUGUUUGACGAAAUGCGCAUCGAUGAAAUUGCUGGAUGUAGCAAGAAAACAAUAUGAUGAUGCCAAUUGGUGACGCUCGGCAAUUGUUGAUGCUCUCCUGUGACCGAGAACUUGCGGUAUAUAUCGAGGAGGUAAACAUUAUGAGAGGAUUUUUGCUUUCUCUGCCUGGAAUUGUAUUCUCGAUUGACCAAUUAAGUCAAAAAGAUAAUAUCCGCUCCACCAUCAGUUCAGACCUUCGAAGGGGUCUCAUAAAAUCUCUUUUAUCAAGUUGCUAAUCUAUGUCCUCUUCAACUAUUAUGAUUGUUUAUCUUCUUUUGGAAUCACAGACUGAUGUUAAACUAACACUUACCACAUCGAUGUGUCAUUUGGCACUUGUUGUCACUCUGCUGAGUUCAAACUUGGCAAGGUGUGCUCGGAGCAUCCCGAGUGGCAGAUUAAGAGCAGGUUUGUGUAUUUUCAAAAGCGCAAGAAUCUGCAUCUUCGAAGGAAAUUCCUUCCCUGCAGCUUAGUAUGACGUUGAGUUACGCAAGAGAGCCGGAGCAGAUUGUUUAGGAUCUACUGCAGUGCAUGGUGGUUUGCACUGAUAUUUGCACACUUUGAAGAUUGGUUAUUUUGUACUAAUGGCAUCUCAUCCCUCUUGCCCAUUUCGAAAAAUUUGAUAUUUAUUUUUAGUGCUCAUAACCAUUUCAUUGUUGACCACAAUUUUGCAUUUGAUUAGUAGGAUAUUUUCCUUGUCUUACCUACUUACUUGGAAGAAUCAGAAACCAAAAUCAGUGUUGUCACAUGGAGAUGGACAACAUAAAGAAUGUAUACGUCGCUCUUAAAAUAUCUAACCCUACGAAUAGGCCUAGAUACAAUUAGGUUUAAUUUGUUAUAGGAGAAUCGAAUCUAUGCACACUUGGUGA